rnacentral:misc_RNA from 1 species
CUGAGAUGCCCUGAUCCAUCUUGUUGGGCUGCUAUUGGUCAGGACAUGAUAAAUUUGUUGGCAUCUGAUGAAGUUAAGGAUAAAUACUCUCGUUAUCUUCUUAGAUCCUACAUUGAAGACAACAGAAAGGUUUGUCUGGGAUUUGCAACCAUACAGUCUUUUUCUUAAAUUUAAAAAUGAUUUACUUCUAUCAAACAAUCUUUGCUGACAUGUUGAAGAUUUCAGGUUGGGCAACUCCUUUUUCGCUACUAAUUUGAAUUUACUAUGUACUAGACAAUAGUGUAUCAAUUGCAGUCAUCUCAUUAUACAUCAAGUUCUGAGGAUUCUCAGAAAUUGUAGUCCCUUUGUCUGUAUGCCAUCUAAGUUGAUGCCAAAGAAAAACUUUUGCCAUGUUGACUAUGCUGGUUAUCUACUUGUUAAUUGUGACUCUCAGAAGUUGUCAUUAUUUCCAAUGGUAGUUGUGAAUAAAUGAUGUGAUGCAGUAGUCUGGAUUUCAUUUGUUGUGUGUUACUUCCACUUCAUAGAAAGAGUACCCUCCCAACUAGACCUGACCAGUUGGAACCGACCCGGAAUUGCUGGUUCACGGUUCAUCAAAAGGGUGAACUUGAACCGGCCGUAAACCCCCAAGGUUUUGGUCCUAGUUCAUGUUCGUUCUGGUCCACCAACGGUCAAAUUUUUUUUUCAAAAAAUCUUUUAGAUCUUUUUAAAUAAAAAAUUCUUUUCAAAUAAAAAAUCUGGUUUGGCCCGGAGCCAAACCAGAUGGUUCUGGCUCAAUUCUGGUCCGUUACAUUCACAAUUCGAGUCAAACAGGGGUUUGACUGGUUCUGGUCCGGUUUAAACCAGUCUGGUUCCAGUUCUGAACCGGCACAUGGCCAGGUCUAAUCCCAACCCUGUCUCUUUGAUGUGGGUCAGUUUUUGAAAUUCUGAUUGUAGGGUUAUUGGGGUUUCAUGUGAAGAGAACUAAUGGUUAUAUUUGGAAUCAAAUUAUGAGUCUCAUGUAGAAGAUAGAUUUUAAAGGUAUUAUGCUCCUAGAAAGAUUUAUCUUGCAUUUUACAUUUGAAAACCUCUAGAAAAUGAGUGCCAGUUUGUUGCUUCUUUUUUU